UCACUGUUGGAAGCACCAAUAUUUUGCAACGCCAUCUUGCUUGUACUGAUCUAAAGACCAGUAUCACGUUAACCAAAUAAUAGGAAAUUCUCCUUCAGCAGACAGGUUCCUUGCAGAUGGGAAAGGCUGCAUAAACUGGCAACCUAUGUAGUCUGCGCAAUGGCCCUCAAAUAACCCAAGAUGCAUGCAGCCAACCUUACUUGAUGAAGGUAUGAUCUUUUUUCUAGACGUAGGACAGUACNNNNNNNNNNNNCAGAGAGAGGCUCGUUCAGACAUAAAAAAAGCUUAAAACUUGACAAGCUCCACGUUUGAUGAACUGCAGAUAAAGCAGACAAAACUGCCAACUUCCUUAGAAUGUAGAGAGAGACAAAGGAUCUACAGAAGGAUAAGCCUCUGCUCUGCGUGCGGCUUGCGUUAGGGAUUGCGGGAUGCUUUGGUAGAGGGCAAUGAGCUAGAGAGAGAGUUUUAAAUAGGCUUUUACCAAUUUCU
rnacentral:misc_RNA from 1 species